GUCGAACGGUAACAGGAAGCAGCUUGCUGCUUUGCUGACGAGUGGCGGACGGGUGAGUAAUGUCUGGGAAACUGCCUGAUGGAGGGGGAUAACUACUGGAAACGGUAGCUAAUACCGCAUAACGUCGCAAGACCAAAGAGGGGGACCUUCGGGCCUCUUGCCAUCGGAUGUGCCCAGAUGGGAUUAGCUAGUAGGUGGGGUAACGGCUCACCUAGGCGACGAUCCCUAGC
rnacentral:rRNA from 1 species